GGUCUGGUGGUCUAGCGGUAUGAUUCUCGCUUAGGGUUCACCCCAAGUUGCAACUCGGUUUGCUUGCGAGAGGUCCCGGGUUCAAUCCCCGGCCAGACCC